GAUGAAGAACGCAGCGAAAUGCGAUACGUAAUGUGAAUUGCAGAAUUCAGUGAAUCAUCGAAUCUUUGAACGCAUAUUGCGCUCUCUGGUAUUCCGGAGAGCAUGCUUGUUUGAGUAUCAGUAAACACCUCAACUCCCUUUUCUUUUUUGAAAUUGGAGCUGGACUUGAGUGAUCCCAACGCCUUCUUCCAAGAAAGUGGCGGGUUGCUUGAAAUGCAGGUGCAGCUGAACUUUUCUCUGAGCUAUAAGCAUAUCUAUUUAGUCUGCCUAAAAAACAGAUUAUUACCUUUGCUGCAGCUAACAUAAAGGAGACUAGUUCUUGUGCUGACUGAUGCAGGAUUCACAGAGACAGCUUCGGCUGACUUUGUAAACUCGAUCUCAAAUCAAGUAAGACUACCCGCUGAACUUAAGCAUAUCAAUAAGCGGAGGA
rnacentral:misc_RNA from 1 species